rnacentral:rRNA from 1 species
GACGAGCGCUGGCGGCGUGCUUAACACAUGCAAGUCGAACGGAAAGGCCCUGCUUUUGUGGGGUGCUCGAGUGGCGAACGGGUGAGUAACACGUGAGUAACCUGCCCUUGACUUUGGGAUAACUUCAGGAAACUGGGGCUCAUACCGGAUAGGAGCUCCUGCUGCAUGGUGGGGGUUGGAAAGUUUCGGCGGUUGGGGAUGGACUCGCGGCUUAUCAGCUUGUUGGUGGGGUAGUGGCUUACCAAGGCUUUGACGGGUAGCCGGCCUGAGAGGGUGACCGGCCACAUUGGGACUGAGAUACGGCCCAGACUCCUACGGGAGGCAGCAGUGGGGAAGAUUGCACAAUGGGCGGAAGCCUGAUGCAGCAACGCCGCGUGCGGGAUGACGGCCUUCGGGUUGUAAACCGCUUUCGCCUGUGACGAAGCGUGAGUGACGGUAAUGGGUAAAGAAGCACCGGCUAACUACGUG